rnacentral:snRNA from 1 species
GUGUUCACUUUUGCAGCACAGACACUGAAACUGGAGGGGUACAGAGAUUAUUAGCUCAGCACCUGCGCAAAGGUGACUUGCGGAUUCACAAACCAUUCCAUAUUUAA